CCUACGGGUGGCAGCAGUCGAGAAUCAUUCACAAUGGGGGAAACCCUGAUGGUGCGACGCCGCGUGGGGGAAUGAAGGUCUUCGGAUUGUAAACCCCUGUCAUGUGGGAGCAAAUUAAAAAGAUAGUACCACAAGAGGAAGAGACGGCUAACUCUGUGCCAGCAGCCGCGGUAAUACAGAGGUCUCAAGCGUUGUUCGGAAUCACUGGGCGUAACGCGUGCGUAGGCUGUUUCGUAAGUCGUGGGUGAAAGGCGCGGGCUCAACCCGCGGACGGCACAUGAUACUGCGAGACUAGGGUAUUGGAGGGGGAACCGGACUUCUCGGUGUAGCAGUGAGAUGCGUAGAUAUCGAGAGGAACACUCGUGGCGGAGGCGGGUUCCUGGACAUUAACUGACGCUGAGGCACGAAGGCCAGGGGAGCGAAAGGGAUUAGAUACCCGAGUAGUC
rnacentral:rRNA from 1 species